rnacentral:rRNA from 1 species
AACGAACGCUGGCGGCAUGCCUAACACAUGCAAGUCGAGCGAGACCUUCGGGUCUAGUGGCGCACGGGUGCGUAACGCGUGGGAACCUGCCCUUAGGUUCGGAAUAACUCCCCGAAAGGGGUGCUAAUACCGGAUAAUGUCUUCGGACCAAAGAUUUAUCGCCUUUGGAUGGGCCCGCGUUGGAUUAGCUAGUUGGUAGGGUAAAAGCCUACCAAGGCGACGAUCCAUAGCUGGUCUGAGAGGAUGAUCAGCCACACUGGGGCUGAGACACGGCCCAGACUCCUAGGGGGGGGAGCAGGGGGGAAUAUUGGACAAGGGGCGAAAGCCUGAUCCAGCAAGGCCGGGGGGGGGAUGAAGGCCUUAGGGUUGUAAAGCUUUUUUACCCGGGAUGAUAAUGACGGUACCGGGAAAAAAAGCCCCGGCUAACCCCGG